CACCAAGCCAUGGCCAACUUCAGGGCCCUAGCUGCUAGCAAGUGGAUGGGACCUGAGGAAACCGAGCAGAAGGGCCUUGAUUUGUCCUAUUUUUGAUGUUUUUGUCAGCCGACUGCCUACUAUCACCAUCCACCACUGCCACCCAUUAUCGGUCACAUGCCGCCCAUCAUUGGUCAUUCGAUGACUAGCCACCACCCCCUUUCAUCCCCUAUUUGGGCAAAGAAAGAAAGAAAGAAGAAAAGGAAGAAGAAGAGAAGAA
rnacentral:lncRNA from 1 species